rnacentral:rRNA from 1 species
CCCUUAGAUGUUCUGGGCUGCACGCGCGCUACACUGAAGCGUUCAACGAGUAUUCACCUUGCCCGGGAGGGUUGGGUAAUCUUUUGAAAACGCUUCGUGAUGGGGAUAGAUUAUUGCAAUUAUUAAUCUUCAACGAGGAAUUCCUAGUAAGCGCGAGUCAUCAGCUCGUGCUGAUUACGUCCCUGCCCUUUGUACACACCGCCCGUCGCUCCUACCGAUUGAAUGGUCCGGUGAAGCCUCCGGAUUGGCGCGCACCUCGGUGCCGCCGAGAAGUUGGCUAAACCUUACCAUUUAGAGGAAGGUGAANUCGUANCA